UACGGAGGGUGCAAGCGUUAUCCGGAUUUACUGGGUUUAAAGGGUGCGUAGGUGGGUAAGUAAGUCAGUGGUGAAAUCUUCGAGCUUAACUCGGAAACUGCCAUUGAUACUAUUUAUCUUGAAUACUUUGGAGGUAAGCGGAAUAUGUCAUGUAGCGGUGAAAUGCUUAGAUAUGACAUAGAACACCAAUUGCGAAGGCAGCUUACUGGACAGUUAUUGGCACUGAGGCACGAAAGCGUGGGGAGCAAACAGG
rnacentral:rRNA from 1 species